rnacentral:rRNA from 1 species
CUACGGGUGGCUGCAGUGGGGAAUAUUGGACAAUGGGGGAAACCCUGAUCCAGCAAUGCCGCGUGUGUGAAGAAGGCCUGUGGGUUGUAAAGCACUUUCGGUUGGGAGGACUGCUUCUAGCACUAAUAUUGUUGGAAGUUGACGUUACCUUCAGAAGAAGCACCGGCUAACUCCGUGCCAGCAGCCGCGGUAAUACGGAGGGUGGCAAGCGUUAAUCGGAAUUACUGGGCGUAAAGCGCGCGUAGGCGGCUAGAUCAGUCGGGUGUGAAAGCCCCGGGCUUAACCUGGGAACUGCAUCCGAUACUGUCUAGCUUGAGUACAGGAGAGGAGAGUGGAAUUCCACAUGUAGCGGUGAAAUGCGUAGAUAUGUGGAGGAACACCAAUGGCGAAGGCAGCUCUCUGGCCUGAUACUGACGCUGAGGUGCGAAAGCGUGGGGAGCAAACAGGAUUAGAUACCCGUGUAGUC